rnacentral:tRNA from 1 species
GCCCGCGUGGCGGAAUUGGUAGACGCAAGGGACUUAAAAUCCCUCGCUCUUAUGAGCGUACCGGUUCGAUUCCGGUCGCGGGCA